rnacentral:tRNA from 1 species
CCCUAGUUGGCUGAGUGGUAGAGCAUGAAACUCUUGACCUCAGGGUUGGGAGUUCAAACCUCACAUUGGGUA